AGUGAUGUCUGAGCAAAUUAUUUAAAUAAGCAAAACUUUCAACAACGGAUCUCUUGGUUCCGGCAUCGAUGAAGAACGCAGCGAAAUGCGAUAAGUAAUGUGACCGCAGUACUCAGCGACUCAUCGAAUCUUUGAACGCACAUUGCGCCCCUUGG
rnacentral:rRNA from 1 species